rnacentral:rRNA from 1 species
GAUGAACGCUGGCGGCGUGCUUAACACAUGCAAGUCGAACGAAGCAAUUUAUUUGAUUUCCUUCUUGCUUGAUUAUUUUGUGAGUGAGUGGAGGACGGGUGAGUAACGCGUGGGUAGCCUGCCUUGUACAGGGGGAUAACAGUUGGAAACGGCUGCUAAUCCCGAAUAAGCGCACAGCAUCUCAUGCUGCUGUCUGAAAAACUCGGGUGGUAUAAGAUGGACCCGCGUUGGAUUAGCUAGUUGGUGAGGUAACGGCCCACCAAGGCGACGAUCCAUAGCCGACAUGAGAGGCUGACCCGACACAUUGAGACUGGGACGCAGCCCAGACUCCUGCGCGAGGCGGGAGUGGGGAAUAUUGCACAAUGGGCGGUAGCCUGAAGGAGCGACGCCGCGUGAGUGAAGAAGUAUGUCGGUAAGUAAAGCACUAUCAGCAGGGAAGAUAAUGACGGUACCUGAAUAAGAAGCACCGGCUAAAUACGUG